rnacentral:rRNA from 1 species
UACAGAGGUCCCAAGCGUUGUUCGGAUUCACUGGGCGUAAAGGGUGCGUAGGUGGUCGGGUAAGUCUGAUGUGAAAUCCCGCAGCUCAACUGCGGAAUGGCAUUGGAUACUAUUUGGCUAGAGGGUUGGAGGGGGGACUGGAAUUCUCGGUGUAGCAGUGAAAUGCGUAGAUAUCGAGAGGAACACCAGUGGCGAAGGCGAGUCCCUGGACAACUCCUGACGCUGAGGCACGAAAGCUAGGGGAGCGAACGGG